AGGCCAGCAUCGGUUUCCGUAGGGGGAUAAAAACUUUAGGAAUGUGGCUCUUCGGAGUGUUAUAGCCUAUUGUAUAAUACCCUUAUGGGGACCGAGGUACGCGCUCUGCAAGGAUGCUGGCGUAAUGGUCAUCAA
rnacentral:rRNA from 1 species